rnacentral:tRNA from 3 species
CGGAAAUAGCUCAGUUGGUAGAGCAUCACCUUGCCAAGGUGGGGGUCGCGAGUUCGAGUCUCGUUUUCCG